rnacentral:rRNA from 1 species
GGGAGGUAGUGACAAUAAAUAACAAUACGGGGUUCUUCGAAUCUCGUAAUUGGAAUGAGUACAAUUUAAAUCUCUUAACGAGGAACAAUUGGAGGGCAAGUCUGGUGCCAGCAGCCGCGGUAAUUCCAGCUCCAAUAGCGUAUAUUAAAGUUGUUGCAGUUAAAAAGCUCGUAGUUGAAUUUCGGGAUCAGUACGUUGGUCGUGCCUUAGGUACGUACUGGUGUUACUGGUUCCUACCUUCUGACGAACCAUCAUGUCAUUCAUUUGGUGUGGCGGGGAAUCAGGACUGUUACUUUGAAAAAUUAGAGUGUUUAAAGCAGGCUCGCGCUUGAAUACAUUAGCAUGGAAUAAUGAAAUAGGACGUUGAUCCUAUUUUGUUGGUUUCUAGGAUUGACGUAAUGAUUAAUAGGGAUAGUUGGG